UUUAACUUAUUAAUCUAAGAUUUCUGCUCUGAAAUACAAGUUUCUUUCUAUUUUACUUUAAGGAAAGAAUAUUCUGAAGAAAUUUAUACUCAGAAUGAUGAACAUGUAAUGAAAAUAUGGAGUACUGAAUUUUAAUGAAAUGGUGCUGUAGUAUUAAAGUGUAGAAUAUCUUCUAGUUCAAUUAUGUUGGAAUUUCUAAUUCGAGUACUAGAGGUUUCUUUUGGGCUUUGCUCUCUGUCUUCCUGUCUGUUGGAUCCAGACUGACCAAGCAGCUGUCAUCUAUAGCCUUGCUGACUGUGAGAGAUGGUAUGGUAAAACAUCGUUUGGUGCUUAAGAUCUCAGUCCAGAAGUGACCCAAAAAAGAAUUUAUAUUGAAACAUAUUGUAGCAUUUCUGAAAUACCGAACACCCCGAACACCCCAAGGUGGUGCUAUUGAUACUUUAAGGUAACUAAAUUUACAUUGUAUGAUGUACCAU
rnacentral:lncRNA from 1 species